GAUGAACGCUGGCGGCGUGCCUAAUACAUGCAAGUCGAGCGAACAGAUAAGGAGCUUGCUCCUUUGACGUUAGCAGCGGACGGGUGAGUAACACGUGGGUAACCUACCUAUAAGACUGGGAUAACUCCGGGAAACCGGAGCUAAUGCCGGAUAACAUUUAGAACCGCAUGGUUCUAAAGUGAAAGAUGGUUUUGCUAUCACUUAUAGAUGGACCCGCGCCGUAUUAGCUAGUUGGUAAGGUAACGGCUUACCAAGGCAACGAUACGUAGCCGACCUGAGAGGGUGAUCGGCCACACUGGAACUGAGACACGGUCCAGACUCCUACGGGAGGCAGCAGUAGGGAAUCUUCCGCAAUGGGCGAAAGCCUGACGGAGCAACGCCGCGUGAGUGAUGAAGGUCUUCGGAUCGUAAAACUCUGUUAUUAGGGAAGAAUAAAUGUGUAAGUAACUGUGCACGUCUUGACGGUACCUAAUCAGAAAGCCACGGCUAACUACGUG
rnacentral:rRNA from 1 species